UUUAGUGGUUCUAGCAUCUAUCUAAUACUAUAUGGGAAGUUUGUGGCUGGUCAGAAAGUUGGAAGUGACUUCAAGCACUCAGUUUUUCUUUGUAUUUGGUUUGAUAGAAAUCUCUUCUUUUGUUUUCCAACCUAAAUGUCUUCCACUUCAGUUCUGGUCUUUCCAUAAACAGAGACUACUAAUUACGUCUGAUAGAAAACAGAUUUAAAUAAUGAAAUUCAUAUUGCAUGGGAGCCACGAUGAAAUGGAGUUUGAGACUUCAUCAGUGAAAGCCUAAUGUUUUAACCCUACUAACUAUGCUUCUGAUGCUAGAAUUGUCAUAAAUGGAUCUUAAUGAAUAUGCUGUAGUUCUAAAAUUAUCUACAAGAUUGUAGCCUAUUUUAAGUAAAAAGAAACUGAUGAAGGAAAAAAAAAAAGUAAGAAAAUAGGUCAUUAAGCAAUUUACAAGUCAGUGUCCAUGACAAAUAUAUAGUGCUUCAAAGAGCAAAUCCUCCUACAGUAUAUCUAGAUUCCAUAGAUUUAAACACUAAAAAUUCCUCGUUUGUUCCUGUAGUUAUUAUAAAGCAUAGAAUUUAAUUACUGUACUAUAAAAUUAAGGCAGUUGCUUUAAAAAAAAACUUGUUCUAUACAUAUUAAACAAUUAUCAGCUUUUCUUUUGCAACAAGAUUUUAAAGGGGGACUAUUUUCAGUGUAAUAAUUUAAAUAACAAAAUGCUUGCAGUUCUCCCAUUGCAAUACUGCAAACCAAAGCUAAGCUCUGGCAGCCAGGUUGCUGAAAUCCUUUGUAAUCCAUAGUGUGCCACUCACCUGGAUUGCCUGGUGAAUUUUAGUAAAUAAAGAGAUAAGAUGAAGCAAAUGGAUGCUGUGGGUUUUGUUGUUGUCAUGGAACUUUUAGGAGCUAUAGUUACAGAUUUAAGAAAUAAGCACAAACACAGGCAUAGAUACAUAAAUCAGUGUUUGUCAAAUGGUAUUGAAUGACCUUCUUGGAAGCAUAACAGUGAAAAGCAGCUAACACUGUGCAUGAAACACAAACACUUAAAGAAAAGUGGAGGUGAAACUAAAACUCAGAUCCACAGGGCACGGAAUAGCUUUUAAUUUCAUGGCACAAACUUCCCUCCUUUCUCAGAGACUCAGUGUUAAAUAUCAAAUGUUUAAAAUCCAAGUGACCAGCAGGAAAAAAUGAGCCAAGUUUCACACUUUCCUCCCUGCUGGAAAGUAAGGGUCUCCCCUACGAGCCUGCUGAGGUCUCUACUGUCUCCUAGAAGAUGUUGUGUUACUUGCCUACAGCAAAAGUAUGCUGUGAAUAAAGAACAAAUCUGCAGCCUUCUGCUUGGCUUUCCAGUUACUCCUGUCAAAACCAUGGCAACACCUAUAACAGAACAAGCAGAAAUGGAGUAACAGAAGAGGGAGGAAAAAAAAACCCAAACCAAAAGUCUUGCACUGUAUCAUCUCUGGCUGCUUUGUCAUUCUGUGGGAAAGGUGAGGGAUGCUCUGUGAGGAUGUGGUGUUCACAAAUGAAGGAGGCAGCUCUCUGCAAAAGCACCCCCUGUCAAUUUGUCACAAGCUGAGCAGCAACUAAGGUGUGAAGCUUCAGCUGGUAAGAAAGGGACCUGGCUUUAGGGCUGAAGGAUCAAGACUGCUCUUCUGCUAUGUUCCAGCAGGGACAAAGGAAAGGUUGGGAGACUCAGGUAAGCUAAAACAUCUGUUUUUAACACUCAGGAGGAGAAAAAUGUGGUAAAUGAGGCUAUGAGAAUGGGUAAAGAAACAUGAAGCAUAAGAUGAUGAAGAGGCAGUACUAAAACCGACUGGCAGAGAGCUAGUGGGCAGUGAGGCAGCUUUUAACGUGGUUAGGUAGCCUUGGGUGUGGGGUCCAGGCAGAGCAGUUACCUAUCUGUGGUUUGUGCUUCCCGGGAGAUGAUGCAUCAACACGGCUGAGAUUAGCAUUCAAAGGGUUGGAAAUGCCAGACACGACUAGUAUUUAUUUUGCUCUCAUGUGUGCGUGGCAUGACGCAUCAUGAUGAAAUGCCUCUUUU